AGCGUCGGUGUCGUGUUCUGUUCCUGACUCGGCUGGCGCCAGACUGGCGGGCGCCGCCAGUCUGUCACAGAACACGGGACCGGACGAAU
rnacentral:pre_miRNA from 1 species